UACGUAGGAUGCAAGCGUUGUCCGGAAUUAUUGGGCGUAAAGAGCGCGCAGGCGGUAUGACAAGUCAGAUGUGAAAGAGGCCGGCUUAACCGGCAAGGGUCAUUUGAAACUGUCAGACUAGAGUGCAGCAGAGGAUAGUGGAAUUCCCGGUGUAGUGGUGAAAUGCGUAGAGAUCCGGAGGAACACCAGUGGCGAAGGCGACACGCUGGGCCGUACCUGACACUGAACCGCGACAGCAUGGGGAGCAAACAGG
rnacentral:rRNA from 1 species